ensembl:lncRNA
CUCCACAGCCCCGCACUUGCAGGCAAUGAAAAUCCCUUUGGGUGUCUGUGCUGUACCCGCUGUGUUCUCUGCUCAGAGCUGAAACACCAGCUUAGCUCGUGUGGAGAACGCUCCGUGGGCUUGUUUUACCCAGUUGGUGCAAGGAGGAACUGCGGCUUUUCCCCUGAGUCCUCGGCGGGCAGGUUACAAAAAUGUGCUGGAGAUGCCAAUCCUUGGCUUCAGAGGGUGGGGACCUGCAUCUCUGGGAUGCUCUGGGAUGCUCAGGUGUGGGGCCCAAGCACUGCCCUGAGGGUGUGGGGGGUCUCUGGGCAUGGGCAGCAGCUCUCAGGCUGCCCUGAGGAGUGCAGGGAAGGAGCUGAGGUGAGGGAUGGGGUCCUUUGGGACACAGGGACUCAACUUUUACAGCUCUUGCUUAGGGAGAGCUCUUAGACCUGCCCCAGUUCCAGCCCUUCCCUGACAGCUGCUCAGAUCAUCGAGGUCAGGCUUCAAUCAAAGUCAAAGUGUGCUGUUGUCUGAGAAGAAAUAUCAGAAGCUGCUGCUGGCUGGCACAACAGCAAUAAAUACAGAAGGAGGAGAGGGAAAAAAAAUCAGAAGAUUUUGGUGCCCAAGAACGUUCCUGAAAGGUCCUGCUUGGAUGCUCCUCAAAGGGUUUGGCUGCAGCAGGAACAUCCAGUGGAACACUUCUGCCCCAGGAACCAAUGCAGUGUUUGCAGCUAAAGGAGCAUUUGGUCCUGCCUGCCUGGGAUGUGCUGGGGCGAGCAGGAAGGUUCUGGAAGCUGCUGAGGAGCCUCUCAGAGGCAGUGUGAGAACUCGGGGCACACCCAGGAUGGUGCCACAGCCCCAGCUCCUUCCUGACACCGCAGCGAGGCAGAGGCAGCCCCCGAGGGAGCAGAGACCAGGCUGACGCUCACCACUCCUCACCCAGGACAGACAAGUGCUCUUGCUUUGCCUUUCUUCCCUUCCCUCCCCUCUGUCCCAUGUGGUGGGACAGGAGUUCUGCCAGCUCCUCCCUCAGCGUAAAACAGAACGCACUUUGGUUCGAGAACGGGAUGCAGUUUUAACUAGAACAGUGGAAAGCAUGUCACUAGUGUAGCAGCUGUAAAAUUAGAAGGAAAGAAAACCCCAAAGAGACAGGAAAAUAGCUGCUAUUAAAGUGAUAGAAUAAUCCUCCCCUGUGAUGGUGUUCUGCAGCUUGAAGCAGCUCUCUUCAGCCGGUGUCUAUCAAACCCUAUCAGGAUGGAAGGUGACAUUCUGAAGUCUCUGGCUGUAUUUUUCAUGUCAUUUAGCUGAUUUGUGUCAUUUGAUAAAUUUCAUGUUUGGAAAAUCAAUGUUCCUCACUGCGUGUCCUGCUGUGCUUUGCCAGCAUUGAAGUUCUGUGCUGGAGGCCAGAGCAGAGGUUUGGGAGAGUGGUCACCUCACGGGACCGUCCCCUCCUGGUGACAGGCUCCGUCCACUGCCCAGCAGUAAGUUUGUACAUUAAGCUGACAUGGAGAGAGGAAUUUUAUUUAGGAGUUCUAUUUUAGCCCCAGAUGCAAAGUUCAGUAGCUUUCCCGAUGACUCAACUUAAUGCCUGACUUGUUUAGUAAAAAAAAUCCCCAUAAAAAUACAGUUUAAAAGCGAAUUCCCAAACACUUGUAUCAGGAAUGGUGCUUGAUCACAGAUAACAUGUAUUGAGUAAUAAUAGUGUGCAGCUCUGGGCUGGCUAAUUUUCAACACACCAGUGGUGGGUGGAGGACUUUAACAGCAUCACUUGAGCUGUGCUGCACAGUCAAGACCACAUCUACUGGAGAGAAAAUGCUCCAUUUAAACAGUCCAAAUGAAUAGAUUCUCUCCCUUAUUGCAAUUUAACUGAAGUUUUGAAAUGCCUUUGUUAUUCCAAAAAGGGAGAACGGUAUCAAUAACUC